rnacentral:rRNA from 1 species
AGAGUUUGAUCAUGGCUCAGAACGAACGCUGGCGGCGUGGAUAAGACAUGCAAGUCGAGCGAGAUUUUUUUCUGUAGCAAUACAGGGAAAAGUCUAGCGGCGAACGGGUGCGUAACACGUGGGCACCUGCCAAGAAGUGGGGGAUAGCUCGCCGAAAGGCGAAUUAAUACCGCAUGUGAUCAGAGUGGACAUCCAUUCAAAAUCAAAGUCGGGGCAACCUGACGCUUCUUGAGGGGCCCGCGGCCUAUCAGCUAGUUGGUGAGGUAACGGCCCACCAAGGCUUUGACGGGUAGCUGGUCUGAGAGGACGACCAGCCACACUGGGACUGAGACACGGCCCAGACACCUACGGGUGGCAGCAGUCGAGAAUUUUUCUCAAUGGGGGAAACCCUGAAGGAGCGACGCCGCGUGGAGGAUGAAGGUCUUCGGAUUGUAAACUCCUGUCAUUGGGGAACAAUGCGUAAAUAUUAACUGUAUUUGCGUUGAUAGUACCCGAAGAGGAAGAGACGGCUAACUCUGUGCCAGCAGCCGCGGUAAUACAGAGGUCUCAAGCGUUGUUCGGAUUCAUUGGGCGUAAAGGGUGCGUAGGCGGCGCGGUAAGUCGGGUGUGAAAUCUCGGGGCUUAACUCCGAAACUGCAUUCGAUACUGCCGUGCUUGAGGACUGGAGAGGAGACUGGAAUUUACGGUGUAGCGGUGAAAUGCGUAGAUAUCGUAAGGAAGACCAGUGGCGAAGGCGGGUCUCUGGACAGUUCCUGACGCUGAGGCACGAAGGCCAGGGGAGCAAACGGGAUUAGAUACCCUAGUAGUCC